rnacentral:rRNA from 1 species
UACGUAGGCAGCGAGCGUUGUUCGGAGUUACUGGGCGUAAAGGGUGUGUAGGCGGUUGUUUAAGUUUGGUGUGAAAUCUCCCUGCUCAACGGGGAGGGUGCAUAGUAAACUGGUGAGCUAGAGGACGGUAGAGGGGGGUGGAAUUCCUGGUGUAGCGGUGAAAUGCGCAGAUAUCAGGAAGAACACCCGUGGCGAAGGCGGCUCUCUGGGCCAUUACUGACGCUGAGGAGCGAAAGCGUGGGGAGCGAACAGG